rnacentral:lncRNA from 1 species
CUAUGGAUUAAAUAAAAUAAAAUUUGAUUGAGAGUUAAAAGGAUUCAAUUUGUAUUCUAACAAAUUAAGAAUAAAAAAUUUAUUAGAUCAUAAAUAUCACAUGUAAGUAAGGUGUCAAACGAGCCGAACUUUUGCUUAUAGAGUCGGGCUCGGGCUCGUUAAGAAAUUAUCUAGGCUCGAGCUCGCUGAGUCUGGACUCGAAUUAAAAGAAAUAAUUAUUUGGAAACAUGUGGGAUUGAACCCAUAACAUCUCAAAUACUAAACAAAUUUUUUACCAACUAUGCCACACCUCUAUUCCCUUUAAAUAUAAUAUUUUUUUAAUUUUUUAUACUCCUUACCGAGCCCAUCGAGUUUAACGAACCGAGCCGAGCUUGGCAUGUCCAAGCUCGAGCUCGGCUCGUUAAGCUAAACGAGCUUGAGGAUUGGGCUCGGGCUCGGCUCGUUGGGCUCGCGAGCCCGAGCCGGGCUUUAUUUGACACCCUACAUGUAAGUUACCUUUUAUUAAAUAAAAAUUAAUAAUACAUGCAAUGGAGUAAAAAAAUAUAUAUUCACCUUGGAUAGUGGGGGCAUUUGCAAUAACAUGAGGAAGGUCAAAGUUGAUUCCAUUGAUGUUGGGAUACUUUGAUAUAAUGGUUUUUAAGGUGACGCCGACACCGCCUCCAACAUCAACUAGAGUUUUCAGAUCAUUAAAUCCAGUGUAGGAAUUAAGUAUCUUUUUCAUAGUUAUCAUGGAGUGGCUGUACAUGCAAAUAUUGAAAGUUUUGUUGAACACCAAAUCCUUGCUAGCAUAUUCAAAUAUUGACAUCCCAUGUGCCUUGUUGAAUGGUGUACCUCCAUUCUUCACUGUGUCCUUCAAGUAGUUCCUAUAAGGAUAUACCACAUAUUAGGCAGCUAGUGAGAUAAAAUUAUAUUUAUUCAUAAACAUUGAGAACAUAUUUUGGUUGUAUAUAUAACUUACCAGCAUUCCAUCAUAACUUUCUCUUGAUUUAAUAAGAAAAGGGGAGCUAAACAAACACCAUGCUCGUCUUUCACAAAGUUGAAACACAUAGGAGAAGCACCAUAUAAUCUACUAAUAGUGCUUCCAUCAUCACUCUUUUGCAACUUGUAUUUGAAGAUUCCAUGGCUAGAAAGGCAUCGAAGAACACGAUCGAACAAUACGGGAGCAUCAGGGUUGCCAAUUAUCAGUUUAUCUGCAAUCUCUUUUGUUGAUAGGAAUUUUCCAGAACCAGCAUUGACGAGAACAUCAACUAUACCUAGUUCAAUGGAGAACUUCAUCAUAUUAGGAAGAACUGAACAAUGUACCAAUUUCAAUGCGUUAACAUAUGACUCAUUUUCUUCCAUCUUCACUAUGUUAUCUACAUCGGUUAUGAUUAUUCCCUUGAUUAAAUCUUGUGCACGGAAGUGUUCGGCCCAUUUGAACAAAAGUGGUGUUUUCUUGACAUCCAAUAACUUUAUGUCUGUUAAUUUAUUCUCAGCUGACAAUAUGAAACCCAACAUUGAGCCGAAACAGAUGUCAAUGUAAUUCAUAUUUUGUCCACCAAAAAAGUUCUUCCCCUGACUGCAUCUUUGAAACGCACAUUCAAGGAUUUCCAUUAUCUUGUCAAACUCUUGAACAUCCAUCGAUUUAGUUAAGAUCUCUUUCAUGGCUAAUUCAAUCUACAAAGUACAUGUAAAAUUAUAUUUAAUGAAUGUAAAAAGUUAAUUUAAUUGAUCAACGAGAAAAAAUAUAUUUAUGAUAUUGAUACAUGGUAUUCUAUAAUGGACCAUGUCCUCAAAGUAACAAACAAGUUAGGUUUCACAAUCUGAAAGUAGGUUAUUUGAAAUUAAAAUAUUUAUUUGAGAAAGAUUGGAAUUAUAUUGUAAGUUCGGUUUCAAACUUACUUAACUUCAUCCAAUAAGAAGAGUAGUAAAAAGCGAAACAAUAUAUUUGCAUGACAUACCUUAUUGUCGAUAAAUUUAACCCAGAAUGUUUGAACAAUAGAAUCGUACAUGUCCGUGGGCAAGAUGGAUGGUGUAUCUACAGUCUUCCAUGUUUCAUCGAUAUACUGGACUAUCUCGUAAGGCUCAGUUAUUUCGUUACCAGCGUGGAUAAAGACAACGUCAGAUAAAAUCCCUCCCUGAUUUCCAAUGAUGUCCUCAUCCACAAACUCAUAAAGAAUACCUUUUAUAUUCAGGGCUAUUUUGAUCCGUAUGACAAAUGGACUCGAUUGUCUCCCAAUGACCUUCACACCUAAUUCUGUGACCUUCAUCAUCGUUGAGAUUUUCGAUCAAGUAUACGUACCCUGUGAAAACAAUAGAUCUUAAGUUUAUAACAAUCAGAACUAACUUUAUGAAAUCGAAAAGAAGUCAAUGACAGAUCUUGAUUAGAAUUUAGUUAUUUUUCAUGAUUGGAUUUUGAUAGGGGUGAAACCCGACCAGUACUCCAAGACGCGCAAGCAAGCGCCAAGCGGGGAAUUCCGCGGGAAAUCGGACCAGAACUCAACUGCGCAGAGCUUUGCUUCGCUGGGACUUCUUCCACUCCAAAUGACCUGCCUUUAAUGAGUGGGGGAUGCCUCCUAUUUAUAGGGAUUCUUAUGGGGCUAAUCUGGUCAUUUUGGCCGUAACCGCCUAACUGCCUAACUGAUCAGAUCGAGGCCCUAGGUCGUCUUUCCAGAGAUCGACUUUCUGGGGAUCCGACUUUCCUAGUGAUCGACUUUAUUCAGAAGUCGAUCCCAGGGAAGUCGAUCCUCAGGAAAGUCGAUCUUCCUAAGAUUCGACUUAGGACCUCCCCAAUCCUAGAAUAGGUAGCUCAACUCAUCUUAGGCUAUUCGGACUUCUAGUUGCUGGUAAGCUGUGACCGGGUUGGGAAUACUGUAUCACCAGUACUCUCCCUUUUCUGCGUAUUAGAUACCUUGGGAUACGUCUUUUAGUACUAUGGUCUGUGUGUUGGACCUUGUACUAUCAGAUUUAGAAACAAUUUCUUAUGAAACCCAAACGAAGUUAUUGACAGAUCUUGAUUUGAUUUUUUUGGAGAAAUAUAUACAAUAACUAAAUCUAUAAAAUGCCUUGAAGACUGGAAAUGAAGAAAAGAAACAAUUUUCAAUGACGAAGAUAAUAAAAUACCUCAGUCAGUACUGAUAAAUGCAGAAGCGAGCAGAAAAGGAAACGAUUAAUAAUGUAAGAGGAAAUCUUAUACGGUACUUAUAGAUGUUGAACGGUACUAAAUUAACCUUGCUUAAGGUCGAAAAAAAUCCUUAAUUUCCAACUACCUCAAAUGAGUUGUUUCUCUACAAUUAAUUUCUUUGCGAAAGAAAUUUUUAGAUAAGGAAGAAUAUAAAUGGAAGGUGUGUAUUAUGUCAAAAGAUAAGAUAAGAUAUUGUUGAAAAAAUGAAUGAUCAAUAAGAAAUUACCAGAUAAGUUAAAUUAGCAUGACUUUUUUAGUUUUUCAAAUCAAGCACGUUACAUUAUGGCGUGUGGACCGUGUGGUUGAAACUUGAUAUAUAGCAAUGUUCAAUAGUCAAUGUUCAAUAGUCAAUGGGAUUUUUUUGAUGAAUCUCAUUUCUAGCCACCAACUUUGAUGAGGUAAAUUUCCAUGAAUUAUUAAAAUAUAAGAUAAGAUAACCUUGAAAAAAUGUAUGAUCGAUAACAAAUAUUGUGAUUACAAUGAUGAUUACUAACAUAUAAGUUAAAUUAGCAUGAAUAUUUUAGUCUUUCAAAUCAAGCAUGUUACUUUAAAUUUUUAAGUCUAUAACCACAAAUGUCAAAUCCCAAAAUCUAUAUCUCUUCCAAAUCCCUAAACCCUAAAUUAUUAUUCCCUCACUAAAUCCGAUUCUCCCUCUAUUUCUAUUUCUUCCAUCGGUUGACUAUUUACAUUUAUAUUAUAAUGUUAGACUUUUGAUUUUUUUAAUUCAGUAUUUUAAUUAUAUUAUUGUUUAAAAUAAAUAAUAAAUAAAUCAAUAAAAAAUAAAUAAAUAAAUCAAUAAUUUGGUCAGGUGUUCCGUCCCCGUAUUCGGUCAUUGGCCGGGUACAUGGAAGAUUUUUGGGUCUGGGUAUUUUCCCGUGACCAGGAACGGGAAACAAAUCCGCUCACCCGUACUUUGCUUCUGCUUAAAAUACCACCUACUAUUUUUGUUUAUUUUUUGACCUCUUAAUUAAUUGAAAAUCCGAUCAAGGUUCUUUUUCUGCUUCUUAAUAACAUUAUGCAAGUAACCACAGUACGGAUAAGAUACAUUACAAAAAAAAGUAGGCAGUUCGGACGAAGCAAAGUUAAUGAAAUUUUCGUUACAAAUACUAAUAAGCAAAGUUAACGGAAUUUGUAACGGAAUUUCCGUUAACUUUGUUGUUUCCGUUACAAAUACUAGAUAUCAAGAUGGACUUAUAUAUGGUAACGGAUUUUUAGAGUAUUUGUAACGGAUAUUCCGUUAAAAAUAACAAUUAUUUAAAAUUUUUUAUUUCCCCCCUUUAACAUUUCGUUUUCCCCAAUAUUAUUUCCCUCAUUUAUUUUGUUCACUCCAAUAUUAUUCUCCAAUAUUUUUUCCCCAAUAUUCUUUCCCCAAUCUCAUUUUCCCUCCAUCCUCCAAUCUCGUUUCCCCUCUCAUUUCCUUCAAUCUUGUUUCCCCCAAUCUCCCUUCUCAACAACCAACGGCGAUUCCAGUGUCACUUGGAUUAGAAAUUUGGUAACACUUCCUUCCAGAGGCGAUUCCAGUGUCACUCGGCCAAUGUCAACUUGCCGCAACAGUUGACGGAGGUUCUACCCUCUCGCUGUUCAUUUCACACAGCUACGUAGGUAUGUCUAUUCUUCAUGUCUCCAAAUCUACUUUCUAUUCCAAGUACGUUAUUGGAUUUAGGUUGUUUUCAUAUGCUGAUCGAUCGUAUAGUAGAUGGUAUUUAAAAUCCAAUGUGGUCGGGGAGCCGAUUCCUCCGGUCCCAACGCUGGUCUGUCAUCUCUCUUCCGCAAUUCUUUUCUUCAUCCCUAUCAUCUUCGAUGCCGUAUUCCUCCGCGGUUCUUCUCAAUUCCAGUACCACCGAUUUUGUUUGUUCUCGUUCUGUUUUUACUCCGUGUUAAUCAAGAUUAUCAACAGGUGAGUAAGGAUUGCAAUGCCUUCUUACCAUGGCUGGAAUAAAAGGCCGGGACAGAAAUAUCCUCGAAACUUUCAAUUGGACACUCCACAUGUGGCAGGUUUGUUCUUCUCUUUGAUGUGAUCAAUCUAUCUUAGAUCGAGUUAUUUGUUAUACCUUUUUUAGUACAAGGCGUGUUUGUUAUAUCUUUUUUUCAUCUUCCUUCGAGCUUGAUUAAUUGAAUAUUUGUUGAAAGUAUAUAACAAAUAUACAGGUCAUUAUUUGCAUCAGACUUCAUUUGAGAGGGAGAAUGUUUAUUGAAAGUUCCUUACAGUGUUGUAAGGUUUCCUCAUUGUCUUUUCUUAAUCAAAUGCUUUAUCUUGUUGUUUUUGGUUGUCUAUUUGUUAGUUUUUAUCAUGGAUUCUUAGAUCAACCUUAUUUUCAUAGAAUUCGGCCAAUCUAUUUUUGUUGUGUUUCCCCCAAUAUCUAUUUCCUCCAUACUCGUUUCUAUUUUUUAGAAUUCAGAAAGUGAUAUUUCGCUUUGCUAGUUAAUAUUGUUUUGUCUAUUUACUAACUCUUUUCUUUCUUCAAUCAGUCUUUAUCUCAAUCUCAGAAGUGCCGUCCGGCGCACCAAAUUUUCAGAAGAAAUCAUUUUCUUAGAAAGGGUAAAUUUUUCCAGCAAGAAUAUUCAUUUUCAUUUGGAGCUCAUAUAGUUGAUUGUUUUAUGAGUUCCUUUUAUAAUGCUUCGAUGUUCCUUUUAUUAAUAAAUUUAUUUCAAUGUUUCAAAUAACUAUUUAGCAGUGAAAUAUAUUUUUCUUAUAUAUUCUUUGUGAGUAAUUUUUUUUAUUUUUCUGUUUUUAUUAAUUUUAAGUGCUGAAUAUUUUGUUGUAUUCACAUAUUAUAAAUGACACCCAAAAAAACAUUGGUUAGUAAGAAACGACGAUUUACACGAAGUUCUGUCGACCAUGAACAACCUACUUCAAGUACUCAUGUUCCGACUGCUGAACCCGAAGUUUUGUCGACACGAAGUUCCAUUCAAAUAGUUCUUCCAUGUUAGUUUUGUUGAAUGUUGUUUUGUUGAAUGUUAGUUUUGUCGAAUGUUAGUUUUCUUGAAUGUCAAAUUUGUUGAAUGUUUUUAAUUGUAUUGAAUAUUUGUUGAAUAUUGAAUGAAUUUACAGGAAUGGAAUCAAUAUUAUUGAAUGAAUUUACAGGAUUUUGAAUUGAAUUUACAGGGAUAAUGAAUUUAUACUGCAAUUGUAAAUGAAUUUACAAGGAUUCUGGAAUUUUUUUUUACUAAAAAAAAUUUGUAACGGAUUUUUCGUUCCGUUAACUUUAGGUUGAAAGUAUUUGUAACGGAUUUAAGUAUUUGUAACGAAAAUUUUGUAACGGACCAAAGUUAACGAAAUUUCAGUUAAAAAUAGUAUUUGUAACGGAAAUUCCGUUAACUUUGCUCGUCCUAAUUGCCUACUUUUUUUUGGAGUGAUAACAUACUGAAUAUUGUAUAUUAAGAGUAUUAUAUCAAAUUAAAACACCAACUAAUUAAUCCUAUUUUACGGUAUACCAUAAGACCCUUGACCCCUCAACUUCCCAAUUAAUACAAAUAUAGCCGUUACUAAUUAAUGCCUAAACCUACCUAUAAAUUAAGAUUAAGACCACUCACCAAUUUACUCUCUUCGAUUCAAACAUUCAUCAAUUAAGAUUAAGACCACUUUAUUUAGUUCAUCACUGCAGGUUCAAAUAUCAGUUCAAAGGUAUUUCAGUUCCUAUCUCAAGUUACUCACAUCAGAACCAUCCAGCUCUUCAUUCUACUGCAACAGUCUUCGCUCUCUCGUUGUUAUUCAGUCAUCUCUCAAUCGCCACCGAAUCUGUACUGUUAUUUAUUUACAUAUAAUAUUCGUAUUUAAUGUUACAUUCAUAAACAUCAACAGUUUUACAUAUACUACAUAACACUGUAUUCAUUCAAAUUCAAAUUCAAAUAUCGAAUACCAUAUAUACCAAUUAAAUCUUGAAGACUAAUCCAAUACAAUCAUCAUCAUACAUAAAAUUUAGCAUAGUAUCAGAGCAUUAGAUAUGAUAUAUAUAUAUUUCUUAAAAAUAAAAACAUCAUCCAAACAUUAUUUACUUCACAUUCCUUUUCCUUUAGAUCAUAUAUUCAAACAUCAUUCUUCUUUAAAACAAAACAUUAUUUACUAGAUUUUUUUUUCUCAGUUUAUAUAUUAAAAUACUAUUUUUCAUUAAAACAAAACAUCAUUGAUCAUUCACUUCAUAUUUUUUCGUCUAAAAUAUCAGAUAUCAUAUAUAUAUUUUUUCAAAAUAUCAUUGUUUUUUUCUUUCUUCUUUCCCAUUUUCCAACUUGUUUUGCUUUUCAAAAUAUCAAAACUUAGCUUCUAUAUAUUUUGUUCUCUUUGUUGAGCUUUCCUACUGUCAUAUAUACAUAAACAAAAAAAGAAAAAGAAAACACAUACACUUCAUUUUUUCAUCCAACAGAAAAGGAAAAUACAAGGGAAAUACAUUUAUCCUUGUAGGUAGCCCUAUGAUCAGCCCUUGCUCUCCUUCUCAGCAACUCCCUGACUGUUUCAUUCCCCUUGCAUUCAAGAAUACAAAAGGAAUCAUUCCUAGGAUACUCCUCAUCAUCACUGUAGUUUAUCAAACCUCCCAUCCCACUCAUCAUCAUCAAAAGGGUCCUAGAUAUUGAUAGGCUGAGGCCCCUUAUCAGGAUCAUCAAGUCCCCCGAUUCUGUUGAGGAGCAGCAAGAACAGCUCAUCUUGAGCGCGAUCUUCACGUAGUAUCACCAUCGAUAUUGUCACAAGUUACUUCUCUCAACAUCUCCACGUCGGUCUGGGAUUCUCUUCUUCAGCUGUAAGCAUCGUCAUCAGGGACACGUCAACUUCAUCUAAGGUUCCAACUGCAAUCAAUUCGCAAGGGUUCUUUGAAGAUUUGCGACUACCUCAAGAAAAUCAGUAUCUUGAAAGAUACUAUCGCCGCUGCAGGGGAAAAGAUGAAGGAUUAUCAGAUUAUUUGAAUCAUACUUGGAGACCUUGGCAAUGGAUAUGAGGCAUUUGUUACCUCAAUAACAACACGCUUCGAUCACACCAUGACUUUCACAACAUUGCAACACUUUCUCAUGGAUCACGACAUGACUAUGAAUGUCCAUAUUAACGAAGAUCUAACAGAGGUAAAUUUGUUAACUAAAUCCAUAUUUGAUGAUCGCAAAUGUGGGGGAGGCAAGCUGAUAUGCCAAAUUUAUUCAAGAAAAGGAGGGCACAACAUAAUUAAUUGCCACAACCGAAUAAAUUUACGAAAUAUCCCGCCACUCAUGGCCGAGAAUUGUCACCUGCUAGACCGGCAGGAAUGAAGCAACCAACUUCAACAAAUUUGGUAACAUCUAGAAACACUAUGACUAUGUGUUACCCGGAUUCAGGCGCCACCUCUCAUGUUACACAUUCAGGUAUGAAUUUAAGUUCACAUUCUGAUUUUAGCCAACCAUCAUCAGUUUUGGCUGCCAAUGAUAAUUCUAUAAGGGUUACACAAUCGGAUAACUCUAUUGGGGCAGUUAAUGGGGCUGAUUGUCACUUAAAUGAUUUGCUCGUAGUUUUAGGUAUAUCUAGAAAUCUACUAUCAAUUAACAGAUUCUGUGUAGACAAUCAAGUAAAAGUUGAAUUUGAUGAUAUGAAGGUUAGAGUAUGGGAUCGAGAAACUGAGAAAGUGCUGGCUGAGGGGAGCCAGAGGCAUGCACUCUACCAAAUGCCAUUGAACAUGAUGAAGUCUUCAGAGGUGCUAUCGUUGGAGGGAGAAUCACAAUAAUUAUGGCAUCGUCGUCUCGGUCAUCUUCAUGAUUAAACAAUUAAUACUCUUUUUAAGAAUAAACAUAUUAAAUACGUUUGUAAAAAUGACUUUAUUUAUGAUACAUGUGUGAUUGGCAAGUCUGAUAAUCUACAUCACAAACAAAGCAACUCGUUUUAUUCUUCACCUCUAGAAUUGAUAAUUGCAGACAUUUGAGGUCCAGCAACCAUUAAUUCUUGAUGAAGCACGUAAUCUGCUACCAGGGGGCUCGCGGGGUUGCGAGGAGGGCCGGAGGCUUCGGAGUCUACGACGCGCGCUCUACGUCAAAUACCUGCAGAUGAGAGGAAUCGACGACUCAACGUGGGAGUGGGCGAUUCGGGCUCCUUAGUGUGCUCUGGUUGAGUGGGAGAUCAAGUAUGUUGGAGAUGGAUUGGGAGAACCCCCAAGGACCCCUUUUAUAAGGUCUUUGGGACGUUUCCCAAUCAAUGAGCCGGGCCCACACCAUUAUGGCGCCCGGUUAAAGGUGCCAUAAUGUGUGGGUCAGCCACAAGUAACAUCUGGGAAUCGACGACUUAGGUAUGGGAGUCGUCGAUCCAGGGGUGGAGUCGGUGAGUCCUAGGAGCCAGGUCGUCAGUCUACCAGAACUGACUAACUUGGUUUCGACUCGUCGACUCACCUCCGGAAUCGGCGACUUGAUAGUCCCAAUCGGCGAUUCCCAUGUGUUGACUUGAGGACUUGACGUAGACACUUGUUCCGCAACCGUGGAGCUCUCCGGGGGUCCGGCAUAAAGCGACGGAACCCUAGUCCUUGUUGAAGAGCGUUGCUGGAAGUGACUGACGUAAUCAUGCAUGUCUCACCAGUACUCCCCCCUGAAGAGAGCACAAGAAACAUGCGUGUGUCACCAGUAUCCCCCAAGCAAGGUUGUGUGUGUGAUCCGCAUCAAUGUCAAAGCGACAAGAUAGGAUCGAAUCAUUGCGGCCAUAGCGACACAAUGAUUCUGUAUCCAUUAAGGCCAAAGCGACAAAAUGGAUUGAUUCUGGGCGAAGUGACAUAAUCUAGUUCCAGGCCAACGGAACUACUUGUUUAUAGUCCAACUCUGAUCAAGAGCGACUUUUGCUAUGUUAUCAAGGCCAAAGCGACAAGAUGAGAGAAUUAUUAAGGCUAAAGCGACAAAAUAAUUCUUGGUCCAUUAAGGCCAAAGCGACAAAAUGGACUUGGAUCUAUUAAGGCCAAAGCGACAAAAUAGAUCCGAUUCUAGCCGAAGCGACAUAAUCUAGUUUUAGCCGAAGCGAUAGAACUAAUGUUUAUAGUCAACUCUGAUCAAAAGCGACUUUAUGUCCGCAACGACGGUUAACCCAUCAAUGCAAAUAAGCUGAAUGAUGGCUUGAGAUCAUUAAGGCCAAAGCAAUAAAAUGAUCUUUGGUCUAUUAAGGCCAAAGAGACAAGAUAGAUCGGAUUCUGGCCAAAGCGACAGAAUCAUACCUGCAAAAAAGAAAACAUCCUGCAAAACAACUAAAUCAGUCUAAAACGUAUAUUUUUAUUGACCAAUUGAACUUACCGUGCGAUUUUACCUUUCGCGAUGUCCUUCCUUUGCUCGAAUGAAUCCUUGGUAAAUCUAGCUGAAGCGACAAAUUUACCAUGCUUAUGUUCGACAACUUUCGGUCGGAGCAACAGAAGUGUCGAGAGAGUUUGUGAUACUCCCCCCGAAACGUGACAACUUCUGGCCGAAGCGACAGAAGUGUCGGGAGAGUUUGUGAUACUCUCCCCCGAAAUGUGACAACUUCUGACCGAAGCGACAGAAGUGCCGGGAGAAUUUGUGAUACUCCCCCUGAAAUGUGACGAUUUCUGGCCGAAGCGACAGAAGUGUCGGAGAGAGUUUGUGAUACUCCCCCCCGAGAAUCAUGUCAGUGUGACAUAUAUAUUUUUUGGAAUGAUUAAUUUUCAAAAUAUUUUGUAAUCUUUUUAUUUUGACUGUCAAUGAACUAUCUGUUGUUUUUUCUUUGUUAAUUUUUCAUAUAAAUCAUCUUUAAAUUGUAACCUAAGCUCGAAACUAGAUUCACAAGUCGUAACUUAGCCUCUCUGGACGUAAGUUAGACUCUGCUAAACCUCGCUUAGCCACUCUGGACGUAAGCUUGGUCGUACGAAACGUAGUUCAGUCGUCAGUUAAAUUUGCGGAUAAUUUAUAUCUCCAAUUUAACACAGAGUUGUAAAAAAUAGUACAAAUAACAAAUCAAAAAAUAAGAUGUAAAUAUUUGGAAUUCGAGGGUUAGACUCGUAAUUUUUUAUUAUAAUCCUAGAUUUGAACCCUGAUGCCGGAGAGAGUUUCUGAUACUCCCCUCCGAAGUGUAAUGACUUCUGGCCGAAGCGAAAGAAGUGUCGAAGAGAGUUUGUGAUACUCCCCCUAAAAACAUGCCCGUGAGGCAGUUUUGCUGAUAUUUACCCUAAGUCGGCGAUUGGGUGCCCCAAUCAGCCACUCCUGAGUUUUGGGUAACUAUGAGGGGAUGAAUUUUGAAAUUUCACCCUCUUGAGUCGGCGACUCCUUCUGGGAAUCGACGACUUCUGUUGUGAACUGUCGGAUCUCUUAGAAGAUCCUCGAGAUAUUUGAAGAAUAUUUGCAAAUUUCCCAAAUAAGGAAAUUUAUCUACCAAAUUUUGCAAAUGACUGUCCGGAAUCGGUGACUCCUCUACGGAGUCGUCGACUCUGGCGUGAUUUCAGGGAUUUGGAGAUCAACUUUCGAUCUCCUCCCUUGCAAUUUUUGGAUUUUCUGGGGGGGGGGGUUUGCAAUUUUCCCAGGGGCUAUAAAUAGUGGUGAAAUCUUCUCACUUCUCACUCCAAUUCCCCCAAUUCACGAAUCGCCUAAAACCCUAGAUUUUUCAAUCGCCGAUUCCCCAGAUUUUCUCCAUGCGAAUCGACGAUUCCCUGUAAUGGCCAGAACAAGUCCUACCAUUCAUUGCCUCUCAGAUGCCGAGACAGACGCAAUGAUAUACGAGUUGGCCGCGGAGAACAUCGUCGGGGUGCUGAACACCGUCGAGUCGCUGCUUUCGACUCCUCCUAGGGAGUUGGGAUCGGCGACUUCGAUUGUUCUAUCCGCGGACGCAAAUAUGCAUGAGUGCCUCGGUGCACGAAUUGCUCGGGCCUUUGCCUGAGUCGUCGAUUCCUUCUACGAAAUCGACGAUUCCAGACAAGGUUCCUGAGACUCUGAUCGGAGCUAACCUUGAGCAUGGCGAGAUUCCUGGGCCCACUCAUGAAUCGACGAUUCCCUCUGUGGAGUCGCCAACUCCGAGAAGGCUCAAGAAGAAAGCCGUGUUCAAGAGGAGAAGGGGAAAACUUACUGCCACCCAGAAGCGUCGAGUAUACGCUACGAGUCAUCGACUCAACUGAAAAAAUCGACGAUUCCGGGGGUUGAGUCGGCGACUCCCCUUGAAACAGUAGAUGACUCGAUUCCUAGUAAUGAACCGCAUCCCGACUCACUUGUCGUUAAUGCUGAGGGUGUCAUCAUCUCUGGGAUGAACCCUAACAAGCGACCGUCGGAGGAAGAUGGUUUGAAGAGGAAGAAGAAAAGGAGACGGCCGGGGCCAUGGAAAAGGAAAGGUUCAUGUUCCUGGUGAGAAGGAGGCAGCCCACAACCCUCACAAUUUAAAUUUCGAAGAAGAGCUGGUCGUGGAUCGUGGUGCUUCUAGACCCUCUUCUAAUGUGGGUCGUUGCUCUAUAGAGAGAACUCCUCCACCACCGACUGAAUUAGACAAAAAUCGCGACAAGUAUGCCGAUUUCCCUUCCUAUGUCGGAACAACAAACCCGACCGGGUUUGCACAUUGCAAAACAUUUGUAAAUGGUGCCACUAUCUUGCUCCCCGUUAGCCGCUCAGGCGAGGGUAAAUUCGAGCAAGUAAUGACUAGUGCGACGCUGAAGCACCAUGGAACGACGCACCCUCCUUCUUUUAUCAAUGCGAGUGAAGCUCAAGACCUUUUAAGAGGGAUGCGAAUAUCUGGACAUCUGCGAUUUUGGAUGUCACAAUAUCAGCCUGCGAAUCUCCCACCACCGGGAUUUCAGGCCUUGCCCAAGAUGUAUUUCAAGCACUUCUCUGAACUCCCCAUUCCUGAACUGAUGAGUGAGAUCGUGCUUGCAACUGAAGUCUCGCUGUCGUAACUUCCAACGGGAUUCUUUGUUUGCCUUAGAGGAUUCUCCAACAUCUGUUGGAGUCUUAACAUUACUCCUACUGCACGUUUGUUCUUGUAUUAUUACAAGUUGUGCAAAAAUGGAAAACCUGGAUCGGGUCGGGUUGGAUUGACGCGAAGACAUUUUAAUCGCAACCUUAUUGAUGACUUGCCUUCCCACCAUGAGGUGUGGAAGCAAGAGUUCAUUUUCGUGAUAUCGGAAUUCCUUCCCGGAAGUCGGGAGGAUUGGAUAGACCCGAACCGUGUGCAUCUGAGCGUAUCAUUGGGUAUGAAUGCGGAUGACAUGGUUGCCGCCGAUAAAAUUGUUGAAGCUCUGAAAGACUACAACCUGCCACGUGGGGUUCCCUUCAUCCUCUGCCAGCGUGAAGCCAAAGCUUCAGAGCCUCGGAGGACUUUUGAGAAGGGCUCAAGUUCUCGCUCCGCUCCUGAGAGGCCUGGAUUCGAGCCCUACAAUUGUGGUGUGAAGCUCCCAGACUUUAUGGCCGAUCCUCAAGUUCGAUCGGAUGCAAUUUCGCUACUGAUGGCGAAGUCUGGGAGUUGGGUUCGGACUGAGCUCAUUACAACUUUGAAUGUUGUAACUUUAUUUUCCGAUAGAAUUUUUUACUUAUUCUUUUACUAAUGUUUCUAAUUUUUUGUAGGCUUGCUACAUGGCCCAUGCGUGCUUUGGCAUGGAUACUCUUCACGAUACUAUGAGAGCGCAAAAGAAAUACAACCAACUUGACACCAAGUACAAAGCGAGCGAGAGACAAUUGGUCAAGUUGAGGCAUGUCAAGGCCAAGCUCGAUAACUAUCGAAACAAUGUCGUUCCAAGGAAGGAGAAGACCAUUGAAUCUCAGGAGAAAGAGCUCGAAGAAUAUGUCGGAAAGAUUCUGGGACUUCGGAAGGAACUGAAAGAUAGUUCUGCUGCCUCGACUAAACAGAUUGAAGACUUAAGGAUUCAACUCGAGGCUGAAAUUGGGAGUGUGGUCUCAUCUGAGGCCACUAACAAUGAAUUGUUGAAUAGUCUCUCCCAACUUGAGAAGAAGUGUGCAGAAUUGACUGGCCAACUCUCUCGCUCUGAAGAGGAGUUGGGAAAUAUGAAGAAAGAGAACUCCGCACUUUCGGAGAAGGUCAAGGACUUGGAGUUGGAUAAGAAAGAUCAAUCCGAUCAACUCCAAGAACUUAACUUUUUUGGUUCAUCCAUAUUCCCUGCUCUACCUGAGGACUUUGUUUCCAACAUCAUGACAUGGGUGGAAGAGCAUCCUGAAGAACAAGUGAAGAACACAGAUGCUCUUGACAAGCUGAAGAACGAUGCCGAAGAAGACUAAAUUUAUGUUCUUAUGCUUGUAAUUUUUUGAUGAUAUGUUUUGUAGUUUUUUUUUGAACUUAUUAAUGAAUUAUUUUGCUUACUUUAGUUAAUUGUUUGUGUAAUUUAUUUUUGAAUUGUAAUUUAGACUCGAAACUAGAUUCACAAGUCGUAAUUUAGCCACUCUGGACGUAAAUUUGACUCUGCUAACCCUCGCUUAGCCAUUCUGGACGUAAGUCUGGUCGUACGAAUCGUAGUUCAGUCGUCGGUUAAACUCGCGAAUAAAUUAAACUUCCCAAUUAACCAAAACUCGCAAAGCUAAUUGGCAUAAUAAGUUGGAAUACAAAAGAUAUCGGAACAUUAUUAUAAGUGGUGUAAGUACUUAGAAUCUUUUGGAUUAGGUUCGUAUGUACUCGUCAGCUACCUAUCUUAGAUUAUAACUCUAGAUUCAUACCCUAAUGCGUAGUUCAACUCCGGCCGUAACGACAGAGUAAAUUCUAACCCUCAUCAAGGCCGUAGCUACAAGAUGAGGUUGGAUCGUUAAGGCCAUAGCGACAAAACGAUUCUUAAUCUAUUAGGGCCAUAGCGACAAAAUAGAUUUCUAAAGUAGGGUAUUAGUUAGAGUGGUAAGUAGUGUCAAAUUUAUUGACUUUCUUGAAGGAAUCUUACAAAAUAAAAACUAACUAUUCUAUUUUGUACCCUAUACUAGCAUACAUACUAAAAGGACCUAAGAAAUAGAAAGAUGAAUACUAAGCGUAGUAUUGCUGCAUGUUAUCUGCGUGCCAGGUGUUUGGAACCAUUGUCACAUCUUGUCGCCGUAAGCGAUAAGUUCCUGGCCUUAUCUCCUCUUCGACGAUGUAGGGACCCUCGAAGUUGGAUGACAACUUAUUUUUUGGUCUAUUCCUUUCUGUUAUGCUAGCCUUCCGUGUGACGAGAGUUCCUGACAGAAAUACCUUUUUUGUACUUGGCGAUUGUGGUAUCUCGAUACGCUGGCCUUGUACGAUUCAUUCCGCAGGUCCGCCUCGUCACGGGUUUCAUCCCUUUACUCUAGCUCUGUUGUUAGAUUUUGGUCAUUAGUCUGUUCGUCGUACUUCGAAACUCUGUAUGUUGGUAUACUCAUCUCGAUUGGUACGACGACCUCCACUCCAUAGGUCAUAGCGAAAGGGGUGUUGCCCGUGUGAUUUUUACUAGUUAUGCGAUAUGCCCAUAGGAUUUCGCACAACUUGUCUGCCCAAGCUCCUUUUGCCGAUUCGAUUUUCUUUUUCAAUCCUUGUACGAAGGCCUUAUUGGUUACUUCCACUUGUCCGUUUGCCUGAGGUCGGUAAACGGAAGCAAAGUGGAGUUUUGUGCCCAGGUCCUCGCACAUUCUUAAAAAAUUUCCCCCUGUGAACUACGUGCCAUUGUCCAUGACAAUAUGUUGGGGAACUCCGAAUCGACAGACUAUGGAGUGGUAGAUGAACUUGACUGCCGCGUCUUGAGUGAUCUUCGCUACAGCCUGAGCCUCGACCCACUUUGUAAAGUAAUCUACUACUACAAAGAUAAAUCAAGCCUGAGAUGUCGAGAGUGGGAAUGGUCCUACGAUGUCCAGUACCCACCUUGCGAACGGGAUCGAGCUCAAGAUCAGAGUCAUGUCCGCGGAUGGUUUUUGUUGCAUUGGGCUGUGCAACUAACAUGCUCGACACUUGCGGACGUAAGUGGAGCUUCCAACCUUAGGGUGGGCCAAUAGUACCCCAGCCAUAUGAUUUUGAAGGCUAGUGCUCUUCCUCCCUCGUGGAGUCCGCAUGAGCCUUCGUGUACUUCCUGGAUAACCUUAUUCGUAUCUGGCUUGGCCAAACAGCGCAGCAGCGGGCUGUCGAAUGACUUUUUGUAAAGCACCCCUCCGACGCCGCAAUACUUGGCUGCCUUGUGUUUCAAUUUUUUGGCCUCGCCUUUAUUAUCAGGAAGUGUUCCAUUCUGAAUGAAUGCCAGUAUUAGUUGCCUCCAAUCUUCUUGGGGAUCGGAAAUGACAUUCAAUACAUGGCAUGUGGGCUGGAGUAUUGAGUCCACUAGAAUUUCUUGCUGCCCUCCCUCCCAGGCCGAUGCUAGACGUGCUAGGGCAUCGGCGGGUGUAUUUUAGAUUCGAGGGAUUUGCUCGAUUUUGAACUCAGCGAACUGUUUGGUGAGUGCCACCAUUGCUUCCACAUAUUUGGUGAUUUGUGGUUCCUUGCAAGCGAACACACCAGUGGUUUGCCGAGCUACGAGCUGGGAGUCAGUGCAAAGGGUGAUAUUCUCAGCGCCGAGAGUUCUCAACAGCUUUAGGCCAUGUAUAGCUGCUUCGUAUUCCGCGACAUUGUUAGAUGCCGGGAAGUGAAGCCGUACCGAGUGUUCAUAGUUUUUUCCAUUUGGACUAUGGAUUUUCACUCCGAUAACCGAGUCUGUGCUGCAACUCGAACCGUCUACUUUCACAAUCCAAGGUUGGGUUAGGUUUGAUGGUGUGAGUUCAAUGAUGAAGUCCGCUACAGCUUGCCCUUUGAUGGCAGUGGCUUGUCGGAAAUCCAAAUCGAACUCACUGAGCUCGAUUGCCCAUUUAGUUAACCUUUCCGAGAUAUCUGGUUUGUAAAGUAGACGGCGUAGGGGACACGAUGUCAAUACUAGCUAUAAUUGUGUGCGCUAAGAAGUAAGCUCGAAAGCGACGACAAGCGUGGAUCACAACAUAUACGACUUUCUCAAUCGGAGAGUAUCGUAUUUCUGCGCCUUGUAGUCGCUUCGAGUGGUAGUAGAUAGGGACUUAAUCCUUGUCCCUUUGCGCGAUGAGGACUGCACUUACGACUUCUUCUGAAGCCGCUAUGUAUAAGUACAGGUCUUUCCCAUCCUUAGGUGAUGUCAGCAUUGGAAGUGAGGACAUAUGUGCUUUUAACUUAGUAAAUAUGUCCUCGCAUUCCGAUUUCCAAGUGAUACUACCCUUUGCCGCAGUUUUCAGUAACUGGAAGAACGGUUUACACUUGUCAGUUGUUUGUGAUAUGAAACGACUGAGUGCAUUAAUUCGACCGUUCAGCUUUUGUACUUAUCUGAUUGUGCGGGGGAGGAUCCAUAUCGAGGAUUGCUUGGAUUUUGUCGAGAUUUGGUUUAAUCUCGUGCUGACCUACGUAGAAACUAAGGAACUUGCCUUCCUUGAUUCCAAAGGAACAUUUGGCUGGGUCAAGCUUCAUUCCGUAUUGUUUCAAUGUACCCAGGGUUUCUCUCAGAUCCUCAGGGUAUUUUUCCACGCUUGAUGAUUUGACUAGAAUGUCAUCAACGUAAGUGGAAACAUUGCGCCCGAUCUGGUCCGCGAAAACCUUGUCCAUUAAGCGUUGGAAUGUAGCCCCAACAGUCCUCAAACCGAAUGGCAUCACUCUAUAACAAAAUAUCCCUGAGUCCGUGAUGAAGGAUGUUUUUUCCUCAUCAGGCUCAUGCAUCAGGAUCUGAUUGUAUCCUGAGUGGGCGUCCAUCAUAGAGAAGAGUUCGUUACCCGACGCUCCAUCGACUAGUUCAUCGAUAGAUGGGAGCGGGUAGCUGUCCUUGGGGCAUGUUUUUAUUGAGAUCAGUGAAAUCAAUGCACAUGCGCCAUUUGCCAUUGGGUUUCUUGACAAGGACGGGGUUAGCCAGCCAAGUUGGAUAUUAAACUUCUCGAAUGUGUUCAGCAUUCAGAAGCUUGGAUAUCUCCUUGUUGGCUGCUUCCCGCCUGUCAUAAGUGAGUACUUUACGUUUUUGGCGUUGAGCUGGAAUGGAUGGGUCGACAUUGAGUUUGUACGUUACGAUUUGAUGCGCAAUCUGUGUCGGUGCCUCACCCUCCCAAACGAACCUAUCCUGGUGCUCCUCUAGAACAGUCAUAAGCUUGGCUCUUAAGUCAGAGGAUAGCCCCUUUCCUAAUGCCACAUGUCCCCCCUCCAGCUGAAACAUUUCAGUCUUCCAUGGGUUAUAAUUUCUCCCUCUCCCCAAUGUCGGGUGGGGCAUGGACGAGCAUGUUGUUCAGUUUGGUCAGAUGGAUUGCCUUCUUAUACCCUUGUCUAGAAUCCUUUUAUGAUCCUUUGAUAGUUGCGAUGAACCCUUUGAUUGGGUAUCGUAUGCAUUGGUGAUAAGAAAACGGGACUGCCUUGAUCCCGUGGAUGAAGGGUCGUCCGAAAAUGCCGUGAAAAGUGGAUUCUACUUCCACCAAUAUAAAACGAUAAGUCUGACUAACCCUCCCUCGCCGGGAACCGAUGGAGACUUUCAGUUCAAUAACACCGGCCACUGGGGCGGCGAUGUUAGUGAACCCUUAGAUGGUUUCCUUGCAAGGAGAUAGAUCCUGCCUCUUAAGGCCCAUCUUGGUAAAAGUGUCCAUGUAGAGGAUGUCCGCAGAACUACCGCUGUCGACAAUCAUCCUCUCGACUCGGGAAUCGGGACCGAUGUCUGCUUGGAUCACAAGUGGAUCCUCAUGAGGUUGCAGAACAUCGUCCAGGUCCUCUUCGGAGAAGUAUAUUAACUUCUCUUCGCGGACCCGUUUUCCGUUGUCUCGAGGUGUUGAUUGCGACAUCAGCACCUUCCAUGCGUAUCCCCUAUUCUGGCCAACGAAGCCACCACCAAAUAUCAUAUUGAUGGUCUUUUGUUGGCGGUUCUCGCUGCUAUCGCUAUCUGGAGAAGGAGAGCGUUGGCGCUUCCCCUUCAGGUCAGAUUUGCAAUUGUCCCAUCCUCGAGGUCCCUUGACAAAGUUGCCAAGUUCUCCCUUCGAGAUCAACUGCUCGACAUAGUCCGAGAACUCCCUGCAAUGAUCCUUUAGGUGGCCAUUGUCUUUGUGGAAUUUGCAGUAUUUUCCAUCUUUCUUACGACUACCCUUGGUUGCAGGGUCUAAAGAACGAGGAACGGGUAGAUCCGCUCGGUUCUUUAGCUUCUCAAACAACUCGCCCUUGCUGAUUAUUAGCGGAGUCCAGUCCCUCCAUGGUUGGGUUUCACCCUUUGGCGACUGCUUGGUCGAGGUUUGGUACACCUUAUUAUCGUGUUUGGGCUUCCAUUCCUUCUUGAAGGUUUCAGCCGCAUUGUCGGUGUACUUAUUAGAGGUGCCACGGAAAUUAUUCUUUCCAUUGUACCCCUUCCUCUCGAACUUGGGUUUUUUAAAGCUAGUGGUCUCAAGCUCCGCUAGCUAGCUUAUUCUCAUCCUCCUCUUCCACCUCAAUGUAUAAUAGAGCUCGAUGGAAGAGGUCUGGUACGUAAGGUCUCCACUUUAUGGAGCUUCAGAUUCUGGGCCAAUGGGGAGAAGGGUACCAACCCUCUGAUGUAUCCCGCUAUAGCCAGACUUGGGAUUAAAUCGUUCACUUUUGUCAUCAUCGAAGUGAACUUAAUCGUGUAAUCCCGUAGGGACAACUUGUUCUGUCGUAGUGCUAGUAGUGUGUUGGCACUGUGUUUUAUCCUGAUCAUCCCCACAUGUUGGGCGAUGAACUUUGCAGAUAGGUUCGUAAAGCUAGUACGUGACUGAGCCAGCUGGCAGACUAGAGAACCACCGAUAAGUACUACCCUUGAGAGUGUCGGGGAAUGCCCGACACAACAGCCCGUUAUCGGUGGUCUGAGGUUCCAAGAUAUUGAGGUAGAGGUUGAUGUGAUCUUUUGGAUCACUCGAACCAUCAUACGACUCAAUCAUGGGUACCCUCCAAGUUGGUGGAAAGGAUCCUUUCAAAAGGUCCUCGUGAAAAGGAGCACUUUUGAUUCUCAGAAACUCAAUCGGGCCGUCGACAACUGGGUCGUCGGCCAGCUUCCGACGAAGAUCUUCCACGAACCGUUUCGUAAGAGUCUUUUUAGUGCGACUCUUACUAAGUCCAGCCCUUGACUUAGGAGGGGGACCUUUCUUCUUUUUUCUCCACAGAUGGGGAAUAGUAAGACCCAGAUUCACCCGCUCCUUUGCGGAUGAUGGUCUUGUGACUCCUUGCUUUUUCGAGGUUGUUGAUUCUUUCUUCCAUGUUUUCCAUGAAAUUAAUCAACCUAUCCUUCAGAGUGCGAGGAAUGUUUGGGACCAUUUCCUCUCCGAUUUUUGUCGGAGCGGAAAAUGCCUGAGAGGGUAUGUCAGGUUGAACGUCCCCGAGCCUCUCUGGGAGGGGGAGGUCAGCCUGUCCCUCUUCAGGUAUCAAUGGUCCUUUACCCUUGCUUCUCAAAGGGCUACCGUGCUUUUGUUUUUCGAUAGCCAUUGGCAACAAAAGCGAGUUUCAACCGAAGCGCAAGUAUCUGACCGAACUAACCCGAAAGAAAACCAAGUGGAAUCGGCGACUCCCUAGGUUGAGUCGACGAUUGGACUUAGGUGAUUCUUCUUUCGAGUCGAGUCGUGGACAACACUCUUAGCUAGCAGAAUAUUCCCUUAAUCAGCGACUCCCUAGGUGGAGUAGGCGAUUCCUGGUAUUGAAUCGGCGAUUCCUUAUGACAAAGUCAGCGAUCUCCCAAGAGAAAUUAAGCCAGACUUUGCGAAGAAAAUUUCGCAAUUACGACGGGAUAUCGUGGUUUGCGAAGCACGUAAUCUUCUACCAGGGGGCUCGGGGGGUUGCGAGGAGGGUCGGAGGCUUCGGAGUCCACGACGCGCGCUCUACGUCAAAUACCUGCAGAGGAGGGGAAUCGACGACUCAACAUGGGAGUGGGCGAUUCGGGCUCCUUAGUGUGCUCUGGUUGAGUGGGAGAUCAAGUAUGUUGGAGAUGGAUUGGGAGAACCCCCAAGGACCCCUUUUAUAGGGUCUUUGGGACGUUUCCCAAUCAAUGAGCCGGACCCACACCAUUAUGGCGCCCGGUUAAAGGUGCCAUAAUGUGUGGGUCAGUCACAAGUAACAUCUGGGAAUCGACGACUCAGGUAUGGGAGUCGUCGAUCCAGGGGUGGAGUCGGUGAGUCCUAGGAGCCAGGUCGUCAGUCUACCAGAACUGACUAACUUGGUCUCGACUCGUUGACUCACCUCCGGAAUCGACGACUUGGUAGUCUCAAUCGGCGAUUCCCAUGUGUUGACUUGAGGACUUGACGUAGAUACUUGUUCCGCAACUGUGGAGCUCUUUGGGGGUCCGGCAUAGAGUGACGGAACCCCUGGUCCUUGUUGAAAGGCGUUGUUGGGAGUGACUGACGUAAUCAGGCAUGUCUCACCAAUUCUGUUGAAGGUUACAAAUAUUACAUCAACUUUAUAGAUGUUUACAUGAAUUUCAACUGGGUAUUUCUAUUAGUUAAAAAAUCAGAGAUAUCUGAGGUAUUUAAAAAAUUCAGAUCUCUCGCAGAACGCCAGACCAGAAGAAAAUUAAGGCAGCUACAAACUGACAAUGCACUCGGGUUUAAGAAACUCACAGGAGCGUUAAACAAGCUAAGAAUACAUCAUCGGUUCUCCUACGUUUACCGUCAUCAGCAAAUGGGCCACAUUGAGAGGAGACACCGACAUUUGGUCGAUACAGGCAUUACUCUCCUUUAACAUGCCAAUAUCCCACACGAAUUUUGGGAUUAUGCUAUUAUGGCUUCCACAUAAACAUACAAUAUAUAGGAACCCCAACAAAUCACUCUCUGGCCAGUCUCCAAUUCUGAAACUAUUUGAGAAGGUUCCAGACUACAGCAAGCUCUGGAUUUAUGGGAGCAAGUGUUUUCCGUGCUUACGAUCUCAACGGCCAAACAAGCUAGCACUAAAAUCAGCGGCAUGCAUAUUCCUUGGCUAUCCAGAGCAUCAUGACGGAUAUAUAUGUAUUGAUCUGAUAAUCAGAAAGUCCAUAUUUCAAAGGACGUUAAAUUUAUUGAAGGCGAUUUUUCAAUCAACAAAUUACUUACGGAGGAUGAUUAAACAAAAGGGGAAGAGAGUUCAAGUAUCACCGAUCUAAUCAAUAUUGAAGAGAAUAUAAUACAUGAACCAACCCAACCACCUCCAACAAUUAAAAGAAGAUGGGUCCAUAGAACGAUACAAGGCACGUCUAGUAGAAAAUGCCAUGCGAUAAAUCGAAGGCACAGAUUACUCACAGACGUCUAGUCCAGUAGUAAAGCCAAUUUCGGUGAGGUUGGUAUUAACGAUUGCCGUAUCUAGAGGAUGGAAUUUACAUCAUAUUGGUAUAUCAAACGCCUUCUUACAUGGCAAUCUCGAGGAGAGGAUUAUGGUAAGUCAACCAGUAGAGUUUGUGAAUAAAUAUAGGCCCAGUGAUGUAUGCCUUCUUAAGAAAGCCCUCUAUGAUCUUAAGCAAUCCCCGAGAAUGCGGUAUAAAAGAUUGAAAGAGUUCUUGAUUAAAUUUUGCCAACGAGCAUCCAUGUUUAAUAAUAACAAUAUUACAUGUCUAUCAGAACACAAUAUUAAAUAAUUCCAAUCAUCAAACCUUAAUAUAUAGAAAUCAUAAAAAGGGGCAUACAUAUCUUACACAUGAAAUUACUUGAUGAAUUCCAUGACACUAAUGUAACCAAUUGUAAGAGAAAUCUUAAAACAAGAGAAUCCUGCUUUCUUUGCCAACGAGCGAAACUCCAUCUCAGUCCUCUCCUUACCGCCCUCACAAAACAGUAGCAUAAACAUAUCACAUUCAAAUAUUGGAUUGCUAACAUCUGGUGCAAUUGGUACAAUGCCUUCAAUAACAAUGACUUUCCCUUUCGCCCCUAUUCUUUGGAAACAUUUUUUAAGCAACAAAAUACAAUGCUCGUCACUCCAAUCAUGGAGGAUCCACUACAAAAAUAAGAAAGAUCGAGUACAUUAAUUCAAGUCAUUCAACAUGAUAUUUGUAUGUAUAAACAUGAUAUUUGUAUGUAUAAACAUAAUAUUGAAAAAGAAUUAUACCUUCAACAAAAUGGUAUCUCCACUCGGAAUGUCUUCGAACAUGUUGCCAGCUACAUGAUUCACUCCUAUGAAAUAAAAGAAAAUAAAAUUUAUCUGACAGUUAAAUGGAUGGUUGAUGAAAUUAAUGUAAAAUAAUAAUAAAUGCAAAGUAAAAAAUUAAAGAUAAUGUAUACCUUGAAUGAUUGGAGCAUUUGCAAUAACAUGAGGAAGGUCAAAGUUGAUUCCUUUUAUGGUGGGAUACUUUGAAAUUAUGGUUUUUAAGGUUCCACCGACACCACCUCCAACAUCAACUAGAGUUUUCAAACCAUCA